UUUCCUACGGGACGCAGCAGUGAGGAAUAUUGGUCAAUGGGCGGGAGCCUGAACCAGCCAAGUCGCGUGAGGGAAGACGGUCCUAUGGAUUGUAAACCUCUUUAGGCGGGGAGCAAUGCCGGGCACGUGUGCCCGGAGGGAGAGUACCCGCAGAAUAAGCAUCGGCUAACUCCGUGCCAGCAGCCGCGGUAAUACGGAGGAUGCGAGCGUUAUCCGGGUUUAUUGGGUUUAAAGGGUGCGUAGGCGGAUUUUUAAGUCAGCGGUAAAGUGUCCGGGCUCAACCCGGGCCGGCCGUGGUAACUGGG
rnacentral:rRNA from 1 species